UACGAAGGGGGCUAGCGUUGCUCGGAAUUAUUGGGCGUAAAGAGCUCGUAGGCGGUUUGUCGCGUCUGCUGUGAAAACUCGGGGCUUAACCCCGGGCCUGCAGUGGGUACGGGCAGACUAGAGUGCGGAAGGGGCAACUGGAAUUCUUGGUGUAGCGGUGAAAUGCGUAGAUAUCAAGAGGAACACCUGCGGCGAAGGCGGGUUGCUGGGCCGACACUGACGCUGAGGCGCGAAAGCUAGGGGAGCGAACGGG
rnacentral:rRNA from 1 species